rnacentral:lncRNA from 1 species
CAGUGAAGCUGCUGUUCAGAUGUUUUCUACACUGAGUUCUGUUAACAACACAGAUCAUUUGGCUGCUUGGUGGAAACAUACAACUACAGUUUGGUAAUUAUGGUUUCUGAGCUCCACCUGCAAAACGUCUGAUCUGUAGAAAGGCUGACCUGUAUUGUUGCCUCUGCAAUAGACCCUCACUGGCCACCGAGUGCACGUAUUCACCUUCAGACAGCAGGAUCAGUAAACAGAGCUCAUUAACCAGCUCUUAUUGUUGGUCAGAAGAUGCUGCUCAGGCCAGCUGAGAGGGGUUCUAGGCUACCUGUGACCAUGAUGGGAUGACGGUGUUGCUGUGGUUGUGGCUGUAGCCUGUGUUAGUAGGACCCAAGUAAGGAGUGAGAUAAAGUAAAAGGUUUAUUUAAACCAAAGACAGUGAAGGUAAAAUCCCUGUAAAAGAGGGCGAGAAAGGAAACAGUCCAAGUUCAGAAUGAGUCAGAGUCAAACAGAUAUGUGUUAGAAUAAUAAUAUUAAUAAUAAAAAUAAUACAAAAGAAAAAGAGGAACUUUUCAAAUAGUCUAAAAUAAUCAUUGGGUCAAACGAAUGCAGAAAAUGAAGCAGACUAACAAUUUCUAACAACCAGAGAUUUCACGUGUUCUUCAGAGGGAAUCGAAACAUGUUUUAUUGAUAUAAACUGGGAAAAAAGUAUUUCUGUAAAAUCUGUAACUCUGCUUUUUGUCUUUUAUGUACGACCACAAGAGCUAACAGAGACGCCUGGAGACGAUGCCAGUCUUUGGUGUGUGGAUCCCCUCACUGGUGGUGUGGAGCAGACCAGACCUGAAGCCUGAUCACUGUGUCUACUUUCACCGAGACCACUCACAAGAAAACUAGCAGCAUCCGUCUUAUUGUGGCCGAGUGAAGCUGAGAGAUCCAGAGAUGAAGGAUGGAGAAGUGUCUUUGAUUCUGCAGAGUGUCAACAUCAGCCAUGCUGGAACAUAUGGAUGUGGAAUUGGAGGGGGACAAGGAGAGGUGACCCUGAACUCAUCAACACUGUGAACCUGAAGGUUGAAGACUCCGGUCACACAACAACAAACAUGGUGAACGGAGGAGAUGAGGACGGAAACGGGCGAGGACGUGUUGGGCUGAGAGUCGACUUGGUGGUUGCUGCUUUGGUUCUUAUCGUCUUUGUGAUGUUUGUCAUGAAGAAGAUAGAGAAACAACAGUUCUGCUGCUGAUGGAGCAAGUGACCAACAGCAGGUCUGAAACUAAAGUCCGACCUGUUUUGAACCUGACUGUAACUCAGAGAGCUUCACAGUCUGUCAGUCAGUGUGUUUACAUGGACUCAAGU